AACGAACGCUGGCGGCAGGCCUAACACAUGCAAGUCGAGCGCCCGCAAGGGAGCGGCGGACGGGUGAGUAACGCGUGGGAACGUGCCCUUUGCUACGGAAUAGCCUCGGGAAACUGAGAGUAAUACCGUAUGUGCCCUUCGGGGGAAAGAUUUAUCGGCAAAAGGAUCGGCCCGCGUUGGAUUAGGUAGUUGGUGGGGUAAUGGCCUACCAAGCCGACGAUCCAUAGCUGGUUUGAGAGGAUGAUCAGCCACACUGGGACUGAGACACGGCCCAGACUCCUACGGGAGGCAGCAGUGGGGAAUCUUAGACAAUGGGCGCAAGCCUGAUCUAGCCAUGCCGCGUGAGCGAUGAAGGCCUUAGGGUUGUAAAGCUCUUUCGUGGGGGAAGAUAAUGACGGUACCCCAAGAAGAAGCCCCGGCUAACUCCGUG
rnacentral:rRNA from 1 species